CCUCCUCAGCAGUCUCCGACUCCUCGGCGCCCAACCGCGUGAUUUAAUUUGUUUGGUAAUAUCAGGAUUGGCGUGUUCAGCCCAGCUUCACUCCAAAGUGAAAUUGGACGAGGGCAUUGGAGCCUCACCAGGUACAAGCGCCUCACCUUGACAGCUGCUUGAGUGGGCAGCGGAUUGCAGAAGAGAGGAGAGGGGGGGGGGGGGGGGGGCGGUUACCCCUUUACCACGGGGGAGUUUUGUGUCAGAAGAGAAGCGCAGGAGACAAAGCACCAGGUGCUACCGGGGGCCGAUCCGCUCCACAACAAAAUGCUGCAGCGCGUCCAAACCGUCCAAUCGGCUUCCGGCUUCCUCGCCCUGUUUUCUGUGAUGGACUUUGAUGUAAUUUGUCACAUUUAUUUUGUCAACUCAGAUCUUCAAACUGCUCGUGAUGGCAGAGAUCCGUCACUCUGCACGGGGACAGAUGCUUCUGUACUACGUCCCCAAAUCCGUCCACCUCCUUUAGACAAGAAUUGUUGGUCCUUUCUUUGCAGUAAGCGAGUGUCGUUUGAAGCCUCAUUUCUCAAUAAGGAAAGUCGCUAAUGAGCAUUUUAUGGACAAAUGAAAGAAACGAUUGCAGCGGGAGUCGACAUGAGUGACGGCCACCAACCGGACAGACGCAUCUCCACUGUGACUCAAACACCAGGAGAACCGCGCUGAGGCAGCGAGGAGCCACCCUAACCACGCUAACCACGCUAACCCCGUUAGCGGUCUCUCAGACUCGUCCCCGCGCGGAGGCCUCGUGUGACCCCGAUGAGUCGUGGACGCUGAUGGAGAGCAGGAAGACACAGAAUCACAGCCAACAGGGUCCAAUAAAAAGUCUCACUGCAAUUGAUCGUUCCGUGAGAAAGUUGAAGCUGCGCACACACACACACACACACACACACACACACACACACACACACACACACACACACACACACACACACAGCUGCCCACACUGAGAUGGCCUAGAUAGGUAGAUGUGGAGACAGGCUGAGGGGGGAGAAGGGAUCUGAGGCCGGAUUCAUUUCCACCUCCAGUGGAGGGAGACCACCUAUUCAGCCCGUCUGAGGGGCCACGGAGUCGACAACGGAUCAGCCGCCGUCAGCCGCCGAUGGGGGGGAGGCUUCACGAGAGCAUUUCACCAACCCACCACUUCACCACAGCGGACGGGAUCAACUUCCUCCGGUUUAGUGAGGGAGAGAAUGUCGCCCCACCUCAUUACCCCCACCUGGAUGACACGGCGGGGGAUCCUAAUUUAAGUCACUCGUUAGCUCC
ensembl:lncRNA